UGCCAGCAUCCGCUGUACUACUGAGUGUGCGAUCGUUAAUCGGAAUUACUGGGCGUAAAGCGCGCGUAGGCGGUUAAUUAAGUCAGAUGUGAAAUCCCAGGGCUCAACCUUGGAACUGCAUUUGAAACUGGUUAACUAGAGUUUUGUAGAGGGUGGUAGAAUUUCAGGUGUAGCGGUGAAAUGCGUAGAGAUCUGAAGGAAUACCAGUGGCGAAGGCGGCCACCUGGACAAAGACUGACGCUGAGGCGCGAAGGCGUGGGGAGCAAACGGGAUUAGAUA
rnacentral:rRNA from 1 species